rnacentral:misc_RNA from 1 species
GAAGAAGAGGACCGAGGAAAUUUGUUUGGUUGUGAUUUUGAAGAAAAUGAUGUCAGUUGUUGGAACGAAUUUAGUUCUCAAGCUGAUAUAACAUCAGCUUUAUGUGGGGAUUGGAUGUGCAUCCCAAUGUUGUGGUUUGAGGUUUUGGUUGAAACUGAUCCCUUGAUUCUUCCAGUAUCAUUUGCUAAGUCUGUUUUCUGGGCUCUGUCACGUCUUCCUUUUCUUGAAUCUGAUAAUGAGUUUGGUAUGACACCUUCAGCCAGUCACUGGUU